GUGCUCACUUCGGCAGCACAUAUACUAAAAUUGGAACGAUACAGAGAAGAUUGACAUGGCCCCUGUGCACAAGAAUGACAUGCUCAUAUUUAAAAAAAAUUUUUUU